UACGAAGGGGGCUAGCGUUGUUCGGAAUUACUGGGCGUAAAGCGCGCGCAGGUGGUCUUUCAAGUCAGUGGUGAAAGCCCGGAGCUCAACUCCGGAAAUGCCAUUGAAACUGUGAGACUUGAGGACGAGAGAGGUGAGUGGAAUUCCCAGUGUAGAGGUGAAAUUCGUAGAUAUUGGGAAGAACACCAGUGGCGAAGGCGGCUCACUGGCCCGGUACUGACGCUGAGGUGCGAAAGCGUGGGGAGCAAACAGG
rnacentral:rRNA from 1 species